UGUAGUGCUGAUAGCACGUUAAAUGCUCCAGUUCCCCAUAGAUCACUAAAGACAAGCAACGUUGCGCGUGGUUAGUAUCCGGAUGGGUGACCAUUUAGGCAAUCGCGAUCUGCUGGCU
rnacentral:rRNA from 1 species